CACCUGUGUCCCCAUGAUGGGACCCCCAGUGCAUCUCCAGCAGCUGUGCUCAGUGACAGCCAGGGUGCACGGCAUGGGGACACACAAGGACUUUUAAGAUGUCUUCAAGCUCCUGUGAUUUCAUCUUUUAGAAACUCAGCUACUCAGCCAAGAGCCUGCUCAGCACAGGGCAGGGGCCUGUGACAUGGAGAGCCAGCAGUGAAACCAGCAAUGAAACCAGCAAUGAAACCACAGUGAAAGCAGCAAUGAAACCAGCAGUGAAACCA